rnacentral:rRNA from 1 species
GACGAACGCUGGCGGCGUGCCUAACACAUGCAAGUCGAACGGAGAAUUAGCAAUAAUUCUUAGUGGCGAACGGGUGAGUAACGCGUAGACAACCUACCCUUUGGAUGGGGACAACAGAUCGAAAGAUCUGCUAAUACCGUAUGUUGCUUGAGAAGCGCAUGCUUCUCAAACUAAAGAUGGCCUCUAUAUAUAAGCUAUCGCUAAAGAAUGGGUCUGCGUCUGAUUAGCUAGUUGGUGAGAGAAAAGCUCACCAAGGCAACGAUCAGUAGCCGGGCGCAGAGGAGGAACGGCCACACUGGGACGCAGCCAGGGCCCAGACUCCUACGGGAGGCAGCGGUGGGGAAACUUCCGCAAUGGACGAAAGUCUGAGGGAGCAACGCCGCGUGAGUGAUGAAGGUUUUCGGAUCGUAAAACUCUGUUGUUAAGGACGAAUGUAUAGAUUGUGAAUAAUGGUUUAUAAUGACGGUACUUAACGAGGAAGCCACGGCUAACUACGUGCCAGCAGCCGCCGUAACAC